rnacentral:rRNA from 1 species
CCUACGGGGGGCAGCAGUAGGGAAUAUUGCUCAAUGGGGGAAACCCUGAAGCAGCAACGCCGCGUGGAGGAUGAAGGGUCUCGGAGUGUAAAGCCCUUUUGUUAGAGAAGAUAAUGACGGUAACUAAAGAAUAAGCACCGGCUAACUCCGUGCCAGCAGCCGCGGUAAUACGGAGGGUGCAAGCGUUAUGCGGAAUCACUGGGCGUAAAGAGAGCGUAGGCGGGAUGGCAAGUCAGAUGUGAAAGCCUAUGGCUUAACCAUAGAACUGCAUUUGAAACUGUUAGUCUAGAGUAUAGGAGAGGUAGGUGGAAUUCUUGGUGUAGGGGUGAAAUCCGUAGAGAUCAAGAAGAAUACUCAUUGCGAAGGCGACCUGCUAGAACGUAACUGACGCUGAGGCGCGAAAGCGUGGGGAGCAAACAGGAUUAGAUACCCCAGUAGUC